AUUGGUGGGAUUUUGCUCAAUCAAGUAUGAUCAAGAUGAAUCUAGUCAUAUAUAUACAUACAUGUUUUAUUCCAUUAGAAUCAUAUAGCCUUUGUGUGAAAGGAAUGUGCCUAUGUCUGCAAAAAAAACAUCCUGACCACCAAUUUUCUUUACCAUAGCAAGUCUCAGGAAACAUCUGGAAAAACAUGCAAUGGGUCUCUUCUCUUUACCAUAGCGUCUCCCUAGGGAGGGAUCAAAAUUGCAAGCCUAAGGAAAAGUUUGACUAUUUGGAAACGCCCUGUAAAGGGUAUAUAAUGACAUGCAACCUAGCAUUUCGACAGAACUUCUUGCAACAAGCUCUCGACUUUGUUUUGCUUAAAAUAAAGUCUUUUCUUCUGAGAGAAAAAUCCCUGACUGAGUUUGAUCCUUGGGAGAACCGGCAAAAUACACCACAGAUUUGGCACCCCAGAUGGGACUGGAAAGGAGCAGAGUGGACGACUGCUCUUGAGCUGACUGAUUAGCAACACACACACAGUGGUGGCCACCAUAGAAUAAGGUAAGCAUUUUUGCUUAUAUAAUUAGUGUGUGUUGUUGACUGGUCAGCUCUGAGUGGUAAGGACACUUAAAAUCUGCUCUUCCAAAUUUAGAAAAAUAAUAUGAUAUCUAAAUUGAAAAAGGGGUUUUACUCCAGAAGAAAUAACUGCAUGCACAUAUUUGGGUUAUUAAUGGGAAGGCCUUGAAAGGCAACCUCGAUUUAAGACAAAUAUGGUGUAGGCAGAAAGACAUGGCAUGCUGUGGUCUGUGUUUAUUGGAUAGCUGUGCCAGGUAGGACAGUGAUAAACGGAUAAGCAGAUUAGUUAAGGAAUCGCGAGGAAAAGUCCCAUGGAUACCGCUUUGAGAAUGUAUAAGUGAAAUUCUCGAAGGACUGAAUAGAUGGGCCCUUAAGGACGCUCUAGGUAGAGCGAGCUCUAGGAAGAGCUGUGUUUUGUUGUGUGAAUGUAUCUGUGUCCGGACUGAAUAAAUGUGUGAACAAAGAAAUUCCGUGUUGGGUGGGUAAAAGUUGCGCACCAUUCUUGGACCGUCACUUCAGGGUGGCUGGGUGGAGUUGGACGCAGCUAGUAUCCACUUGAGGGGGAUGAAUGUAUUAUGAGCCUUGAUAAUAAAAGGACAAUUAAUGUGUGAUUAUCCCUUAGAUAAAGGGAAAAAGUAUGCAAGAAUAAGCACUCUGGCUCAAUAAAGAGUGUAGCAAGUGUGAAUGGGUUUAGGAAAAUAGCAUCAAUAAAGUUUGAACCAAGAUCUAUAAUAGAUUUUUGCAUUUAGGAUGUCUGUGUGAAAGGGGAGAACAUUUUCUGAGCCCAGUGUAGUGGGAGUGAGAACAAAGGAGGACGUUUCCACAGUAAAGUUGUAUUACAUGGGGGGAGCAAGAGGUGCUCUCCCCUCCUGGACCAUCACUUGGGAGUGAUCAGGUUACAGAGACUGGUGUUGAGAAAGGAAUGCAGGAGCCCUAAAACAAUAAAGUCAACUGUAUGAAGGUUGUUUUAGAGAAAAAUAAAUACAAAUGUUCCAAGAAAUGGACUAAUAUAGAAAUGGCAGAUAUGGUGGAACAUAGAUAUAAUGAUAAAUUAAUUAAAAUAAGAUAUGCAUUUAUUAUUGAACAACUUUUAUUAAUAUAUGAAUUUAAAAGAUGCACGUGCUUAAAACUUUUUUAAUACGUGAAGACAUCUAAAAUUUGUUUCUUGUUAUCCCUGGGACAGUAUGAAAGUUAAUCCAUUACAGAGUUUCAGAGAUUGGGCUUGUGUAAAUGUAAAAAAUAAAAGAAAUAACUUGUGCAAUGUGGAAUGAAAGCAAGAUUGGGUGACCAAGUCAAUAGACAUUUGGAUUCAAAAGCUAUAGGCAUUUUACAAUAGGAAGGAAACUAGUUGCUUAAAGAAUUAGAUUUAAUUAUUUUAUUUACAAUAAUAGGAAUUAUUUUAUGUUGGUUAGGAAACAUUAAUUCACAAAUACCAGAUUAUUCUGAAUCAUGUAUGCAAAUUUAGAAGAAAAAUGAUGAUUGAAGUUCUUAUUUUACCAUAUGCAUGUCAUGCUGUUAUAAAAAAAGGUUUAUUUUAUUUUAUUGCAGUAUAUUUAGAUAAUAAAGGUAGCUGAUUUCUGCAUUUUGCAAAGAAGAAAAAUGCUUGCUAUUUUCCUGCAAUGAAGAACUUGCUUAACUAACAAAGAAUAAGAGAACUGCUGUUUUCAACCAGAUGAUUUAGUUUUUAUUAAGGGACCACUGAAAGAAGAGGUUGAAAAGUGAAAAUUAGAAAAAGAGCUGACUGCUCAGAAACAAUUUGGUCAGAAGUUACAUAGGUACAUUUGAUUAAUGCAGUCUCUGAGUGUUAAACUUUCAGAUGAUUUCUGGAACAGUGCCUUGACAAAGGAAAGCAAUGAACUGGAGUCUGUCGAGGAAUGGCAAAGCAGCAAACACAGCUGCAGAGAGAAGAAGAGGGAGGGGCUGAUGGAUGUUCCCCUCGCCUCCUGAAAGAGAAGAACACACUUCAGCAAGGAGAAGACUGAAUCAAAGCAGGAAAAGGUGAAUCUUUCACUUGAGACUUUUCCUGAGGUUGAAAAGAACAUUAUGAAAUGCAAAACUCUGACAGAAAGCAACCAGAAGCUAGACUGAGAAGAAGCAGAAAAACAACGGAGACCGUACGCCACAACAUCAGGUCUUUGAGUGCCAUCACAGACUGACGACCCAGUACAACAGCCCAGGCUGAUGAUCUGACCAGAAGGACUUCCAUCCCUUCAGUGCACAGGUACCAGUCCAGCCUCAUGUCUUAAAGAAAAAAUAAUUUUGACAGACAGAAGUGAGUACUUGACUCACCAAUCAGAUAAACAUGGAGCUGGAUUUGGCAUAGUAAGGCUGUUUCAUUAAACAACUAAGGGAAAAUGCACAACUGAAUACUUCACAACAAUGCUGAGCUCUUUGGGAACGAAGAGAAUAAAUAAAUAAAUAAAAAAGGGUAUCUUGAUGAACAAUAGGAAAAAUAUAUAUGGUUGAAAAAAUAGAAAUAUUGGUCACUCCAUUUUGUUUUAAGGUAAUUUUCUAAGGUAAAACUGAAUAAAAUAAUAUUGAAUAAAAAAUUAUUCCAGAGAUCCAAAAUCAUGUUAUCACAUAUACUGUCAUCACUGGGGAUAACCAGAUGGAAAUGUUGAUGGUCAUGGAUCCAAGAUAUGCAGAGAUCUCCAAUCCUCUUCUCAGAGUCGCUCAUGAGCAAUAACAAAAAAGUAUUUGACUAAACUUUAAAUUAGACAAACACAUGACAUUUGAGAAAUGAUAAUUGGCUCUCUCAAAUGCUCAAUGUCUAGGCCUAAUAUUCUAAACAAAUUAAUCUAGGAGAUUUUGGAAAAAGGAAGGAAAGAAAGAAAAGAAAAGUUUUUGGCAAAAAAAAAAAAAAAAAAAAAAAAAAAAAAAAAAAAAAGGGGGAGUGAAAGUGUGUGAAAAAGUAUGAAUGAUGGUGUUGUAUGGCAUGAAAGAGAGUGUCUGACAAGACACUGAGGCAAUUCAAUCAAUUUGCCCAAACAGCUGUAUACAAAUUUGAAUGUGGGCCCACAGGGCAAAUUUAUGCCCAGAAAAAUAAUGACCAUGGAUGUAUUUGGUUAAGUUUCCUGGUCAGUACCUAGGUCUUUGUUGUGUCAGAAAGAAAAACAGUGCCACACAUGCGCAGCGUAUAACAUGGGAAGGCAGAGCAAAGCACGCUUGCUCUGUCCACCCCACAUCUAACUUCCUUUUCAGCAUAUCAUGAUGGAGCUGAUUGUGUCAAAAGGAUGAAAUAUUAUCUUUCUGACUGUUAAAAUAAAUGCAGUGGGUUGAGUGUUUUCCAAGUCAAAAGGCCUAUGCUACUGAGCAACAUAGGCCUAGAUAAAUUAUCCAGUAAUAUAGUGGAACUCAGUUUACAAAACAAAGAGAUAACUGAAUAAGCAAAUGGUUGAGAAUAAAAUUGAAAGGAAAAAAAAAUAAAUAAAUAGUAAAGACAGCACUGAAAUUGUGAAAACUCAAAAAGGGGCCAAGACAGCCCUCAACCCACAUUACAUUUCCACAGGUCACACCAAGAAGGACGACUGGCAAGAUGAACAAAUUAGCAUGCUUGAUAACACUAACAAAAAUUCUUAAGUUUUCCAUUUACAGGUGACAGCAGUUCCAGUAAGACCAAGGAAUGCUUCGCCCCAUCAAAGAGAACCAGUGAGGGUGCAGUAAUGAUCUCAAGAGAGCCUUGCAUGAAUCAGCAAAACAGUUACAGAGUGACACCUGAGUUCACAUCUCUAACCUUAAAAUACGCCAACCAGCUUCAACAACUCCACACAGCAUGAAGUGAGGGAUGAAGGGCGUGCUAGUAACGACCCACCCUUGCCAACGAGGGAAAGACCAUUGCAACGACUCGCAAAGAGUCUCCCUGGUGAAGACGGAAUGAGAGAGUGAUGGGACUGCUACUGAGAUAAAAAUACUUGGGUGCAGAUAUGAGCCAACAAAUAGAAAAGAAAAGGUGGAAAGAGAAUUUUAAGUAAUGGUAGAUGAAGAAUUUGAAGGUUAUGAGAAGGGAAAUAUGGAUGUAGGAAGAUUUGAAGGGAAAAUAGAGCAAUUGGAUGCAACAAAUAGAAUGAAAGGAGCAAAAUAGAAAAGCUCAAGAUUUGUGAAUUGAAGAAGGAAAAGUAUGUGUUAUGUUAGGGGAAAAUGCUGUAUUUAUAGAAGGGAGCAUUUAAUGAAGAACUGAUCAAAUUGAACAGGCUAAGAAUGAUAGAUAAAGAAAAUGUUGGAAAAGAUAAUAAAAUGUAAGACUGGUUUGAUUUACAGUUAGGAGCAUGUGGAGCAUAGUUUAUAAUUAAAUAGGGAAAGUUUUUAGGAAUGGCAUUAAUGACAGGAUAUUUACUAUUUUACUGUAUACUUCCUAUAUUGAGGUCACUAGUCAAAGCCACAGUUAAGCAAAUUAAAUUCAAAGAUGUCAAGAUAAUGGGAAAUUGAUACAUAAGGUAUCUAAGCUGAAGUUCAACUCUUAUAAUCUUGUGAUAUGCAAUGUGUGAUGUGAUUUGUAUUUGUAUGUGUAUGUAUUUUUACGCCUUUUAUACAAAACUGUGAUAACCAGGCAAAUGCUGAACCAUUUGCACAUCCAUGCUUUUAACAAUGUCUACUAUUAAAGAGGGGUUAGGGAGACUGGAUCUUUUACUCACUCCAUGUCAAAUUAGGAGAGAGAUGUUUGGUCCAGUAAUCCCUCAGAGUGGAAUUUCAUAAUCUAGUCACUGGAGAUAAUACAAUGUGACUUAUUUAGUCACUAGGUAGUGUAACUAAUAUGACUGGAUUAUGGAGUAGCACUCUGGAUAAGAAUAAUCAAAUGUGAGACUUAUUAAGUCUCAAAGGGGAGAAUAUGUGGAAGAUUUUUAUUGGUGGGAUUUUGCUCAAUCAAGUAUGAUCAAGAUGAAUCUAGUCAUAUAUAUACAUACAUGUUUUAUUCCAUUAGAAUCAUAUAGCCUUUGUGUGAAAGGAAUGUGCCUAUGUCUGCAAAAAAAACAUCCUGACCACCAAUUUUCUUUACCAUAGCAAGUCUCAGGAAACAUCUGGAAAAACAUGCAAUGGGUCUCUUCUCUUUACCAUAGCGUCUCCCUAGGGAGGGAUCAAAAUUGCAAGCCUAAGGAAAAGUUUGACUAUUUGGAAACGCCCUGUAAAGGGUAUAUAAUGACAUGCAACCUAGCAUUUCGACAGAACUUCUUGCAACAAGCUCUCGACUUUGUUUUGCUUAAAAUAAAGUCUUUUCUUCUGAGAGAAAAA